GAUGAACGCUGGCGGCGUGCCUAAUACAUGCAAGUCGAGCGAACGGACGAGAAGCUUGCUUCUCUGAUGUUAGCGGCGGACGGGUGAGUAACACGUGGAUAACCUACCUAUAAGACUGGGAUAACUUCGGGAAACCGGAGCUAAUACCGGAUAAUAUUUUGAACCGCAUGGUUCAAAAGUGAAAGACGGUCUUGCUGUCACUUAUAGAUGGAUCCGCGCUGCAUUAGCUAGUUGGUAAGGUAACGGCUUACCAAGGCAACGAUGCAUAGCCGACCUGAGAGGGUGAUCGGCCACACUGGAACUGAGACACGGUCCAGACUCCUACGGGAGGCAGCAGUAGGGAAUCUUGCGCAAUGGGCGAAAGCCUGACGGGGCAACGCCGCGUGAGUGAUGAAGGUCUUCGGAUCGUAAAACUCUGUUAUUAGGGAAGAACAUAUGUGUAAGUAACUGUGCACAUCUUGACGGUACCUAAUCAGAAAGCCACGGCUAACUACGUG
rnacentral:rRNA from 1 species